GUGACUGAAUUUAGGACAGAUUUUGCUGCAAAUAUGAUUGUUGAGGUAAUUGUCCAUGUUCACACAUUUUCAUGAAUCUCUAUUCCAGGGCGGGUGUUUGUCCACUGUCUGAUGGGUGUGAGCCGCUCUGCCACGUUGGUCCUGGCCUUCCUGAUGAUAGCUGAGGGCCUGAGGCUGCGGGAGGCGGUGGCUGCUGUCAGGCCGCACAGAGACGUCUGCCCCAACCUGGGCUUUCUGCAGCAGCUCCGCAGCCUCGACAUGAGCCUGGAGAGGGAGAGGAGGAGGAGACGGAAAACACUGUAAAGACACACACAGACACACACACACACAAAUCCAUAAACAUUAACUUAAAAAACCACACAUAAGCACAUUUAUUGCAACAGAGGUCAAUCAACCCAGAUCACCACCUCUGACAGAGCUGAGGCAAAUGCUCUGGAAAAACAGAAAGCCAGUGUCACCUGUCGAUCAAGUCUGGCCAGACCUGUACAUCGGAGACGAUUUGUACUCUGUGUGUGUUGUUUCCCUGCAGGUCUGUGGUUGAGAGAUAAAGCCAUUCUGUCAUCUCUGGGUGUGACUCACAUAAUGAACGCCGCAGCAGGACGACACCCGAUCAAUACAGGUCUGCAGUUCUACGGUGACCUCGAAGUAGAAUAUACCUCGGCGUUGAAGCUGCAGACCAUCCAGAGUUUGACCUCCAACCUUUUCUUCAACUCAACCGCACACUUCAUAGACAGGGCUCUGAAGGGUCAGUGGGCAAAUAUAACAGCAGACGAUUCAUUAUGUACAACUACACAAGCACAUUAAAAAUAUAUAUUAGAGUUAAAAUCAAGAAUGGCAAUGUUAGAAGCAAAAUAAAAAAGCUUGGUUUGGCUUCA